rnacentral:rRNA from 1 species
ACACGACUACAUUAGAUACCCCGGUAGUCCCAGCCCUAAACGAUGCGCGUUAGGUGUAUCGGUGACCACGAGUCACCGAGGUGCCGAAGGGAAACCGUGAAACGUGCCGCCUGGGAAGUACGGUCGCAAGGCUGAGACUUAAAGGAAUUGGCGGGGGAGCACCACAACGGGUGGAGCCUGCGGUUUAGUUGGACUCAACGCCGGGAAGCUCACCGGAUAAGACAGCGGAAUGAUUGCCGGGCUGAAGACCCUGCAUGACCAGCUG